rnacentral:rRNA from 1 species
AGAGUUUGAUCAUGGCUCAGGACGAACGCUGGCGGCGUGCUUAACACAUGCAAGUCGAACGGUGAAGCCCUUCGGGGUGGAUCAGUGGCGAACGGGUGAGUAACACGUGGGCAAUCUGCCCUGCACUCUGGGACAAGCCCUGGAAACGGGGUCUAAUACCGGAUAUGACCUGGGAGCGCAUGCUUUCGGGUGGAAAGCUCCGGCGGUGCAGGAUGAGCCCGCGGCCUAUCAGCUUGUUGGCGGGGUAACGGCCCACCAAGGCGACGACGGGUAGCUGGUCUGAGAGGACGACCAGCCACACGGGAAUUGAGAUACGGUCCCGACUCCUACGGGAGGCAGCAGUGGGGAAUCUUGGGCAAUGGGGGAAACCCUGACCCAGCGACGCCGCGUGGGGGAUGAAGGCCUUCGGGUUGUAAACCCCUGUUAGGUGGGACGAACAUCCUCCGGCAAAUAGCUGGGGGAUCUGACGGUACCACCAGAGAAAGCCCCGGCUAACUCCGUGCCAGCAGCCGCGGUAAUACAGAGGGUGCAAACGUUGUUCGGAAUCACUGGGCAUAAAGCGUAUGUAGGCGGCUCCGUAAGUGUCGGGUGAAAUCCCACGGCCUACCCGUGGAACUGUUCGGCAUACUGCGGAGCUAGAGGAUGGUAGAGGAGAGCGGAACUCUUGGUGGAGCGGUGAAAUGCGUAGAUAUCAAGAGGAACACCGGUGGCGAAGGCGGCUCUCUGGUCCAUUACUGACGCUGAGGUACGAAAGCUAGGGGAGCAAACGGGAUUAGAUACCCCAGUAGUCC